CUAUGCGCCUUGCCAGCCCGCUCAGGUGUGCCAGCCGCCGCGGUAAUACGUAGGGGGCUAGCGUUAUCCGGAAUUACUGGGCGUAAAGGGUGCGUAGGUGGUUUCUUAAGUCAGAGGUGAAAGGCUACGGCUCAACCGUAGUAAGCCUUUGAAACUGGGGAACUUGAGUGCAGGAGAGGAGAGUGGAAUUCCUAGUGUAGCGGUGAAAUGCGUAGAUAUUAGGAGGAACACCAGUUGCGAAGGCGGCUCUCUGGACUGUAACUGACACUGAGGCACGAAAGCGUGGGGAGCAAACAGG
rnacentral:rRNA from 1 species